GAUGAACGCUGGCGGCGUGCCUAAUACAUGCAAGUCGAGCGAACGGACGAGAAGCUUGCUUCUCUGAUGUUAGCGGCGGACGGGUGAGUAACACGUGGAUAACCUACCUAUAAGACUGGGAUAACUUCGGGAAACCGUAGCUAAUACCGGAUAAUAUUUUGAACCGCAUGGUUCAAAAGUGAAAGACGGUCUUGCUGUCACUUAUAGAUGGAUCCGCGCUGCAUUAGCUAGUUGGUAAGGUAACGGCUUACCAAGGCAACGAUGCAUAGCCGACCUGAGAGGGUGAUCGGCCACACUGGAACUGAGACACGGUCCAGACUCCUACGGGAGGCAGCAGUAGGGAAUCUUCCGCAAUGGGCGAAAGCCUGACGGAGCAACGCCGCGUGAGUGAUGAAGGUCUUCGGAUCGUAAAACUCUGUUAUGAGGGAAGAACAUAUGUGUAAGUAACUGUGCACAUCGUGACGGUACCUAAUCAGAAAGCCACGGCUAACUACGUG
rnacentral:rRNA from 1 species